CUAUCCUUUAUCCACGAAUAUUUACGAAUAAACUGGAUCGGAAGGGGCUGCAUGCCUACGAUGGUUCGGAAUCUGGAGCUACGAUCUCUUGCCAGUGGAGUUUGUUGGUCACGCAGAAUUUUGCUGGUUACUGGAAUCGUGCUAAACUGCCCCAAAACUGGAGGUCCGGAAAAGUACAAGUGUAACUGACAGUGAAGAUUUUUCCGGGAUUCACCUCUUCGUUAAAAAAGUGGUUAACUCUCGAUGUCGCUGGAUCGGCAUUGCCGGAAUGAGCACGCACAGCAGGAACAGCUAGCCAGACGCAAAAUUAGGAAUGUUCAUCGACGGAAGAAAUGGAUCGAUGCCUUAACGUCAAAAACUUCCGCAUCGCACGCAACAUACUGUUGUAUCAAAAAACCUUGGUGUGUGCUUGAUACCGAAAAACAACGUGACGGUCACCAAGGAUGAGCAGGGAAUUGUGAUGAGCACCAAAAUAGUGACUGAAAAAGCUGUAACAGCAAUCAUCAUGGGUGUGUCGUAAGGAAAACGAACGCCAGUGAAGCAGCAGCGCCACACGCACUCAACUGGCUGUAGGUGAUGCAACAACAACAGGCUGUAAGUGCUGCAGCUGCAACCGUCUAGGAUGUGGCCGGAGGAAAUCGAACAACCGAAAAGAAACAGAAACAAACACACAUAACCAGCUGGAAUUAAUGCAAUAGGAAUCGCCUGGAGUUGAUAACAGCAACCGGCUGAAGGCAACAGCAUCAGUUUGAGGAUGGGCCUUUUGUCUUUGCUGGCUGAUGACCUCGCAGAUUGCACUGGAAAACCUACUUACAACAGUGACAACGAUGAAUCAUCCUCCAGUAAAUCGCUAUGUUCGGCAUGAUGACGACGACGGAAACUAUGGUCAGUGGCGGAAACAUCGAUCUCAAAAAAAGAGGAUUGACGUAUAAGCUCCUGUACCAUAUGAGAACAUUGAGUUCACUGUUAUGUUUAACCAGAGAGAAAUGAAACCGUACUCCCACGCGUUUACCUCGUUGCAUAGAGCCAGCAAUAACGACACCUCCAGACCCGGUUCUGGUGUUCUGAUGAUCGUCCUCGAGUACCAAGAUUUUCUGGGCAUCACCAUAUAUUGGUUAAAUAUUCUGAAAACGAAAUCUGGUUCUGGAUAAAUACUGCGAAAUAUUCUAGCUACAAUCAACUUCAGUUAAAUUUUUCCUAGGCCACUUUUUACCGGAAACGUCACCCAUAGCCGUAUAUUUAGUUUGGAUGCGGUAGUGAAGACUAAAGAGUUAAAACUACUUCGAAUAUUGUGUCAUUAUCAAUCUAAGAAAAAAAUAUUUUAAAUAAUCUGAAAAUGUAAAUAACUAAUUAUCAAUCGUCUCAUUUUGAAAAAUAAUAAAAUCUAUGGAAAAUUGCGAAUCGUCUACUUUUUUUCACAUUUAUCAUAAAAUGAUCUAUGAAAGAUUCACUGUAACGUCUGAAAGACUGGAGAAAAACGAUAAACUAAAGAUUAUACGUAUGAUACCAUUUGAUUUUCAAUCCAGAAAAGUCAAGAAAAAAGCAAAAAAAUGAAUCGUUUAUUUACUUAACAACCCGUUCCCUGUAUCGUUAUUUGUGUCUAAACGAUUCCAUUUGA